UGACGGUCUGUUGUAGAUCAGACUAUUGCCUGGUGUAUGUAGGUGACGGUCUGUUGUAGAUCAGACUAUUGCCUGGUGUAUGUAGGUGACGGUCUGUUGUAGAUCAGACUAUUGCCUGGUGUAUGUAGGUGACGGUCUGUUGUAGAUCAGACUAUUGCCUGGUGUAUGUAGGUGACGGUCUGUUGUAGAUCAGACUAUUGCCUGGUGUAUGUAGGUGACGGUCUGUUGUAGAUCAGACUAUUGCCUGGUGUAUGUAGGUGACGGUCUGUUGUAGAU